UGCAGGACUAAGCAUGCUCAGGGAAAAAGCUUUUUCUCCUUUGCCUGACAAGCCCCAGGUUUGAACUCAUUCCAGAAUGCCGGAUUUACUUUUCUUGGGGAAGAAACAGUACCUGCCUGGGCUGCAUUUUUUUCCUUCCCUCCUCAGAAGACUGGAAACAAUAUUCUUUUGAUGCCGGGUGCGCUCCCAGUAACGUGCCUGCCUGCAAGUGGGAAUCUUGCCCUGGAGAAGGAGACAAACUUUGGUACCUGUGAAAUGAAGACUCCUUAGGUAGCAGAGGAAAUGAAAGCAAUUCUAUUUACCAUAUUGCUCACAGACUCCACAAAUGAGUAACUUGAUGACUUCAGUGGGAAUUGCUCUUAAACAAGAGAGAGAAAGGGUCACCUGGAUUCUCCUGGAGAUGGGAGUCAGGGGCACAAGUCUCCAGGAAGGCACAAGAAGAGGAUCUCAAAUGCUGCCUCUUCUCCAGAGGCUCCAUCCCACAUCGAG